CUGGGAGACUCUUAGCUGUACACUUUGAAUGAUUCCCUGCUCACCUGCUGCACUCUGUCAACUAGCAAGGAAAAUUUUAGGGCAGAAGCCUAGGAUGCAGCCAGGUUCAGAAACCUCUCACUGGGCCUUGCGGUGAAUCCAUGCUCACACAUGGGCUGCCUGCCAAACAUUAACUAAAAUACUCACGCUUGUUUUCGACAACGGUCCUCAGGUUAAAUUUCACCAAGUGCUAUUUUGGGUGAGACGCUAUGGUAGAAAUGUCUCCAGAUUCCGGGUGGCUGUAAUGCCUCUGCAAAGCCACCUUUCAGCAUGUCCCAUUUGCUGUGCUUUCAAGUACUCAACUGUGUUGGUGCCUUUACAAGAUUCAGCCCCAAAGAAGGCCCCUUGCUUCCUCUUUGCCUUCUGCCGUGAUUGUAAAUUCCUGCGGCCUCCCCAGCCAUCUGAACUGCUUGUGCAGUAG
rnacentral:lncRNA from 13 species